GAUUUGCAUUUCUGAUAGUUAUAGCAUUUUUGAUAGUAAAAUAAAGCAUAUAUGAACAAGUUGAAGAAGUUAGUCAUUCUCUCGUUCAAAAGCUAUUGUUGGGGUUGCUUGGAUUCAUCCCACCAAUGAACGGAGAACCGUGAAAUAAACGGGCCGGAAGAGAGGUCCCAUCCCGUGGAAAUGACUAAUAUAUAUUAGUUCCGAGAAAACAAAACCCUAAUCUUAUGCCACUGCCGCCACUCCAAAUUCAAAUCCUCCCUCACAAUCAGCCCAGAAAUUCGCACUUCUCUGGCUCUCUUCUCGCCGCCGUCUGACACCCUCCUCCUCUCUCCUCGACACGCUCCUCUCCUCUUACCGCCAGUGUCUCUCACUCUCACGAUCUCACCGCAAAAUCGUCGUCUUCCCGUGUCUGAGGGCUGAGGCAGAAUCGUCGUUGCCUUCUCUCGUCGGAACCUGAACGUCGGCUCCUCCAGCCUGCUCUUCGUCGCCGCCUCCACCCCGGUCUUCUUCGCAGCUUCCGGUCCAGUAUCCGUCACCGCCUCCAGCAAGAUCUUGGCCGAUUUUCAUCGCCGUUGCAGAAGCAUCUUCGCCGAUUUUCAAGGUUAAUGGUAAUUCUCACAACAAUAACAACAUCAACUCCUCUUCGGAGCUGAACAACAAUGUUUAUUCUUCAUCUUCUUCCUCCACCUCACCCAAAGACGCGGAAGCUGCAUUUUACAGGGAGCUAUGGCAUGCGUGUGUAGGUAAAUCAGGGACACAGAGAACAGGAGGAGGCGUCAACAAAUCAGGUGGCUGACCAGCAUAUGCCUGUGUACGACCUCCCUUCUAAGAUCCUUUGUCGGGUCAUCAACGUGCAGCUCAACGUAGUGUUCCCUGAUCCAUAUUAUGCUAAGCUUAAGGCGGAGCCCGACAUGGAUGAGGUGCUUGCCCAGAUUACCUUGCUUCCGGAGCAAAAUCAAGAUGAGACCGUCGAGAAAGAGCCUCCGCUGCCACCACGGUGUCAUCGUCCCUUGCACUUAGAUAAAUGGAGCCUCAGGGGUCGGGGAACCUGGUCGAGUUUUGAAUGCAAUGCGGGAUGAUGAUUCAGACAUGAUGAUACAGGUGCCAAUCCAUGUAAAUAGUAUGACCCUUCAAGUUCUGGCACAUAGUAGUACCCUCUACACUUCUCCACUCUAAACUUGGAGGCUAUAGGACAACAGUUAGACGGAUAUAUUGCUAUUCAGAGUUCUUCUACAAAAUUUCAAAUUGGGCAAUCAUUCCAUAAUAAAAAGGAAGCUGUUUUGAGUAUGAAGGAUUAUAUCAUCCGUCGAGCUGUUGAAUACAUGGUGUUUGAGUUGGAUCAUCUGAUGGGAAAUGCAAGGAAUUCGGCAACGGUUGUAGUUGGUUGAUUUGUUUCUCGCUUCGUGCGCAAAAUUGCGCUUGGAAGGUGAGGAUCUACCUGCUGAUUAGGGCGGAUGUUGCGGUUAUGACAACGGAAGCCAAUUAUGGAUUUAGGUCAAGUUACAUGAAGGUUUGAAUGGCAAAGCAGAAGGCAAUUGCACAGAUAUACGAGGAUUGAGAAGAGUUGUAUGCGGAGUUGUCAUGUUGGAGGGAGGAAAUGCAAAGUUAUGGCCUUUUUCUCGUCCAGCCUACGACGGCAUGUGACGCCAUAGGAAGGUAUCUUUGUUAUUUCUAACGGACAUAAUGGCAUCAAAGCUGCCCUUGAGGCACUCGUGGUGGUUGGCUACCUCCACAUGAUUUUCGAGCGUUCUGUAUUCGUCAUGUGGUGGUGAAUUUUAGCUUGAGCUUCGAAGUUAAGAUGCUAGAAGAAUGUUGGUGAAUGCCGCCUAUGCGAAAAGCGAAGCAGAAUAUGAUUACUGGUUUGACAUUAUGCGGAUUAAGAAUUCGGCCAUGUAUGAUUGGGCCAAUCGGAUGGAAUAUGACUAGUGGAUCCACCAUCAGCGAUAGCAAGAGACGAUUUGGUCACACUACAAUAUUAGCGAAAUGUGUGAAUUUUGUGCUAAUGGGAACAAGGGACCCCCGGUAACGUCCUUGGUUAAGUCCACGUAGAGGAACUGGGCAUGGAUUUUGUCAGGCGUCGAUGAAAGUAAUAGAGCAGAAUGAGGGACUUGAGAUGCUUCAUCGUCACUUUAUACAACAGGCACUAGUCGGAGUAUAUCGUCGUCGAGACGACGCCCCUUCUCGUGGUAGCCAUCGAGUUUCUCUUAGGGAUCACGCAUGCGACAACGGCUACUUUUAGUUUUUACAUUACCCAUGUUGUCACGGCAUAGCAUGUUGUGGCUACUCGCAUCUGAAUUGGGCCUCAUAUGUUCACGAUGUGUAUCAUAUGACUGAGGUGUUCAAUGUGUACAAGGAAGGGUUUGUGCCACCCUUUCGUCGAAGGACUCUAGUCGCUGUCAUUCCAGACCCUAACAUGAAGCGCGCAAUAAAUGGACGACCAAAGUCAACCAAAAUCCAGGGUGGGUGGCAUGGAUCAGGCAGCUCCAAACUAACUAAAGCGUUGUGGGAUCUGCCGUCAUUUCGGUCAUACGUGGAGGAACUGUGAGUAGGGAGGACAUAUUGCUGCUAGGGAUGCUUAGAUUUUAUGAUUUUUUUUUGUUCAUUUCAUUCUACUAUGUAUGUUUAAGUCGUUUAAUACCCUAAAUAUGCAUAACACAAUAUCAUGAUACAUAAAUACUACCAAAUGGCUACACAACUUAAUACUAAUUUGAAGUAUCAUUGAUAUCAAUGAUAAAACUACUAAGCAAGUGAGACCUGGUGCCACAUCUAGCAGGACGCCUCACUCUCGUUGGUCUCUAUGGUGGUAUGGCAUUAAAUGUUGGCGCGGGAGUCCCACCCAUAGUAAACCAAGGGUCAUAUGGAGUAUUUGCAGGCUGGUUGAGGUUCAUGCCAAAUUGAGGCUGAAUACACUGCAUCUGUGGCUGAACAUCCUGCAUCUGGAAUAUCUAGCACUUGUGGCAUAUAUGAUUGAACAUCCUGUAUCUAUGGCAUACAUAUACAGUAUGCUCAGCCACAUAUACCACAGAUGCUAGAUGCAGGAUGUUCAGCCAUAGAUAUAGGGUGUUCAGCCUCAGUUUGUCGUGGAAUUUAACUAACCUGUAGAUACUCCGUAUGACCCAUGGUUAACUAUGGGUGGGACUCCCGCAUUAGCAUUUAGUGAUAUAUUGCCACAGAGACCGUGAGGCGUCAUGCUCGAUGUGGCACUGCGUCUCACUUGCUUGGUGGUUUUGACAUUGAGGACAAUGAUACCAUCAAAGAUUCAGAUUAGCAUUGAGUUUUGUAGCAAUUUGAUAGUACUUGUGUUCCAUGAUAUUGUAGUAUGCAUAUUAAAGGUAUUAAAUAUGCGUGUAGUGUGCUAUUCAUAUGCAUGUGUUGCGUAUGUUUUAUGAAAUUUAUAUAUGAUCGUGAAAUGAAACAUAACACGUUUAAUGUUAACGAUGGUAUUAAACAUGACAAACAUACAUAGUACAAUGCAACAAAAAAAUCAUAACAUCUAAGUAUCCCUAGCAGUAGUAUGUCCUCGCUUGUCACAAUUUUUCCGCAUAUGACCGAGAUGAUGGCAGCUUUGGUUGGUUUGGAGUUGUCUGAUCCACGAUACCCCAGAUUCUGGUUGACUUUGGCCGUCUAUCUCUUACGUGCCUCGUGUUAGGGUUUGGAAUGACAGUCGGACUAGCAUAUGGAGGCCAGAGUCCCUCGAGGAUAGAGGCAUAAAUUCUUUUUUGUACACGUUGAACACCUCAGUCAUAUGAUACUCAUCACGAACACAUUAGGCCCAAUUUAAAAGCGGCCCAAUUCAAAAAUCUCAACAUUUUACCCACUAAUUUUCGAAAAUGAGGGCUGGGAAUUUGAAGGUGAAAUUGUGACAUACCUCAGGAAUCUUGGUUGGGGUUUUGUAGAGCUCGACACCGCGGUUGUAAACGGUGAUCAAUCGGAGUUUCAGAUCAAAAGUUAUCAAGGAUUGGAUUUGGAAUUGAAUGAGGGCAAGGGUUUCAAAUUUUCCCUUCCCUUUCAACGUGUGUGUGGUGUUUUAGAGGAGAGAGAGAGCUGAGCUCUCUCAAUUAAGAGAGGUUUGGUUGGGCCUUGGGUCCAUUUUGGGUCCGGUUGGUCUGGUUUGGUCCGUUCAGUCCAAUCUUGAGUCAAUUUUUUUAAAAUUGAUGUCAAAAUUCUCGUUUUGAAUUUUUCUACCAUAUAAAACCGUGAAAACCUCAUUUCUCAAAUUCUAUAAUAUAUUUAAUUUAUGGGUUAAUUAACCAUUAAUUAAUCGGGUUUUACAUUUUACCCACCUAAAUGGAAAUUUUGCCCACAAAAUUCGAAUUGAGUUACUUGAGAAUAAGUAAGGGUAGUCUGAUUGCAUUUCUGACUCAAGUUUCCAAGUGUGCUCCUCAACACCGGCUCGGUUCCAUAUACUUGUGUCAUUUAUCCUGACCAGAGUCAAAUCUUCUCUUAACUGCACCGAUUCUGGUUCUAACACGGCUAGCAUCAUGAGUGUACUUCCGAAGCUGCGACAUGUGAAAUACGUCCUGCAGAUUCGAAAGGUGAGGUGGUAGAGCUAUCCGAUACGCCACCAGUCCAACCCUUAUGAAUCUAGAACGGAUCGAUGUAUCGGGGAUUCAGCUUCUUUGUCUUAAUCGCUCUACCUACUCUUGUUGUCGGAGUAACCUUAAAGGAAAUCAUGGUCUCCUUCUUCAAACUCUAAGGGCUUCUGCCGCUGAUCGGCGUAACUCUUCUGACGGCUCUGAGCAGUGAGCAUCCUAUCUCUGAUUUUCUUAACUUGUUUGGUAGUCUCAGGUAUCAAUUCUGGCCCUAACAGACUUUUCUCCCCAGUCUCAUACCAGCAUAGCAGACAGAGCCUCAUACGGAGCCUAUUGUACGCAAAUUCCAUUAGCAGCAUAUAUCAAUCCCAACUUGCCGGUUGGUUCAUAACACAAGUCCUCAACAUAUCUUUUAGGGUUUGGAUUGUUUUCUCAGAUUGACCAUCUGUUUGAUGAUGGUAAACUGUACUCAAGCUCAAACGGGUCCUGAAAGCUUUUUGGAAUGCACCUCAGGACCAAUCAAGCUCUAAAACACAUAUAUAAUGCCUAAACCACAGUAUCACAUAAAAACACAAUAACUCAAUCACCAAAUCACAAAAUUCCAAUUCUUUAGCUUAGGUUGAGAAUCUCACCUUACCCAAGGACCUAGGGAGCAAGAACAAGCCUUCCCUUCACGUUAAUUUGAUCGUAUAACAUCCAAACUAAAAAAUCUCAAUACUUUACCCACUAAUUUUUGAAAAUGAGGGCUGAGAAUUCGAAGGUGAAACUGUGACUUACCUCAGGAAACUUGAUGUGGGUUUUGUAGAGCUCCGAAUCAAAAGUUAUCAAGGAUUUGAGUUGGAAUUGAAUGAGGGCAAGGGUUUCACAUUUCCCCAUCCCUUUCAACGUGUGUGUGGAGUUUUAGAGGAAAGAGAGAGUUGAGCUCUCUUAUUUCCCCAUCCCUUAGCCUUGGGCCCAACUUGGGUCCGGUUGGCCCGGUUUGUACCUCCUCACCUUCCAAGUGCCUUUUGCGGAUGAAGCGAGAUGCGAAUCAACCAAUUGGAACCUUUGCCGAACUCCUUGCAUUUUUCAUGAUACUUCAUAUGAUCCGACUCUAACACUCUGUAUUCAACACAUCGACGGAUGUUAUAACCCUUCACACAUAAAACAACUUCUUUAUUCCGAAUGAUUGUCUAAUAUGAAAUUCUGUAGAAGAAUUCCCAACAACAGCAUCUUUGUCUUACACUAAAAAACUCCCAUCCUCACUUGUCAUUAUGAAAAUGUUCUUCUACAACACACUGAGAUUCACCCUGUAUAUAUAAAUUUUUUACUUAUUAUAAACCAUGGCAGGUUACCAUAGAUUUUGUGUAUCUUUUCAUUAAAAAGUUGAGUUAUUUUUAAUUACGAACAAAAUUUUUUUAUUUAUUUCUAUUAUGAUUGUUUUAAAUUUUAAAAUUAUUUAUACCCAUUAAAAAUUAUAUUUAAUUUACUAAAUAUAGCUAUUAUAAUUUUUUAAAUUUUACUUUUCAAAAACUAAUUUUGAUAAACUUUCUGAAAGAUUGAAGAUUGAACUUGUCAAACCAAAUUGUAAAAGAAUAACCGAAAAAUAAAAAUGAAAUAAAAUGUCGGCUAUUCUGUUUAGGGUUUUUUCUUUUGAACUAGUGCUAAACGAUUAUUUAGUAUUUAUUUCCUCAAGAAGCAUUUGUAACGGGUGUCCAUUUAUAGCCGUGGAUUGCAUCAGUAUAACAAAUCUUGAAUC